rnacentral:rRNA from 1 species
ACUGGCGGGUGCUUAUAAUGCAGGUCGAGCGGGUGCAGCAAUGCAUCAGCGGCGGACGGGUGAGUAACGCGUGGGCAAUCUGCCCUCUAGCCUGGGAUAACAGUUCGAAAGGACUGCUAACACCGGAUAUUAUGAUUCUGAGGCAUCUUGGGAUUAUGAAAGUUUACACUAGAGGAUGAGCCCGCGUCCCAUUAGCUAGUUGGUGAGGUAACGGCCCACCAAGGCGACGAUGGGUAGCCGACCUGAGAGGGUGAACGGCCACACUGGGACUGAGACACGGCCCAGACUCCUACGGGAGGCAGCAGUAGGGAAUCUUCCGCAAUGGACGAAAGUCUGACGGAGCAACGCCGCGUGAGUGAUGAAGGUUUUCGGAUCGUAAAGCUCUGUUGCCAGGGAAGAACGCUUAGGAGAGUAACUGCUCUUAAGGUGACGGUACCUGAGAAGAAAGCCCCGGCUAACUACGUACCAGCAGCCGCGGUAAUACGUAGGGGGCAAGCGUUGUCCGGAAUUAUUGGGCGUAAAGCGCGCGCAGGCGGUCAUUUAAGUUUGGUGUUUAAUUCCAGGGCUCAACCCUGGGUCGCACUGAAAACUGGGUGACUUGAGUACAGAAGAGGAGAGUGGAAUUCCACGUGUAGCGGUGAAAUGCGUAGAUAUGUGGAGGAACACCAGUGGCGAAGGCGACUCUCUGGGCUGUAACUGACGCUGAGGCGCGAAAGCGUGGGUAGCAAACAGGAUUAGAUACCCUGGUAGUCCACGCC